CCACCGUGCCGGGGCCAGGCGGGGACGCGCGGCGGCUCCAGAGGCCGCGUCCCCGGCGCCCUGCGCGGCGGGGACGCGGAGGAGCCCCGCGCGGAGGACCGGCGUGUCGGCGGCAGCCUGGCCGCCCGGAGGACACCGAGCCCGGGCAGAGCAGUCCUGCAGGGACCGCGGAGCGGGACGACCGUGUGGACCGGCCUCGGAGGGAGGGUUCUACGGUACCGUCUGCUGAGGUUCUGCACGCAGGGAACACCCUGGGGUUCUAGGUUCUGCUCCUGAACAACGUGAGCAGAACCUUAAUGGACCCAGUUGGGUCAUUUUGCUCCGCGAGAACAGGUGGACCAGAACUCCAUCCGAACAUCUGGAACGUUCUCUGCCCGAUGGUGCAGAACACACAGAACCUUGUUUUCCAUCUAGUCCUCUUCUAAACCUGCUGGUCCAGCUAGAACCUCAGGUUCUGUUUGGUUCUGUCUAUAAUUUGAGGUUCUGUUUAUAACAUGAGGUUCUAUUUGGUUCUGUUUAUAACCUGAGGUUCUGUUUAUAACAUGAGGUUCUUUCUGGUUCUGUUUAUAACAUGAGGUUCUAUUUGGUUCUGUUUAUAACCUGAGGUUCUGUUUGGUUCUGUUUAUAACCUGAGGUUCUGUUUAUAACAUGAGGUUCUUUCUGGUUCUGUUUAUAACCUGAGGUUCUGUUUAUAACAUGAGGUUCUGUUUGGUUCUGUCUAUAAUUUGAGGUUCUGUUUAUAACAUGAGGUUCUUUCUGGUUCUGUUUAUAACAUGAGGUUCUGUUUAUAACAUGAGGUUCUAUUUGGUUCUGUUUAUAACCUGAGGUUCUGUUUAUAACAUGAGGUUCUUUCUGGUUCUGUUUAUAACAUGAGGUUCUGUUUGGUUCUGUUUAUAACCUGCGGUUCUGUUUAUAAGAUGAGGUUCUGUUUAUAACAUGAGGUUCUGUUUGGUUCUGUUUAUAACCUGAGGUUCUGUUUAUAACCUGAGGUUCUUUCUGGUUCUGUUUAUAACCUGAGGUUCUGUUUAUAACAUGAGGUUCUUUCUGGUUCUGUUUAUAACAUGAGGUUCUUUCUGGUUCUGUUUAUAACCUGAGGUUCUGUUUAUAACCUAAGGUUCUGUUUGGUUCUGUCUAUAACUUAAGGUUCUGUUUGGUUCUGUCUAUAACCUGAGUUUCUGCUGUUUAUAACAUGAGGUUCUUUCUGGUUCUGUUUAUAACCUAAGGUUCUGUUUGGUUCUGUCUAUAACCCAAGGUUCUGUUUGGUUCUGUCUAUAACCCGAGGUUCUGUUUGGUUCUGUCUAUAACCCGAGGUUCUUUCUGGUUCUGUUUAUAACCUGAGAUUCUGUUUAUAACCUGAGGUUCUGUUUGGUUCUGUCUAUAACCCGAGGUUCUGUUUGGUUCUGUCUAUAACCCGAGGUUCUGUUUGGUUCUGUCUAUAACCCGAGGUUCUGUUUGGUUCUGACUAUAACAUGAGGUUCUUUCUGGUUCUGUUUAUAACCUGAGAUUCUGUUUAUAACCUGAGGUUCUGUUUGGUUCUGUCUAUAACCUGAGGUUCUGUUUGGUUCUGUUUAUAACAUGAGGUUCUUUCUGGUUCUGUCUAUAACCUAAGGUUCUGUGGGUUCUCACAUGCACAGCUGUGGACCAAUAAAUUCUGGUUCUGUAAUCAA